rnacentral:misc_RNA from 1 species
UUUCCGUAGGUGAACCUGCGGAAGGAUCAUUAUUGAAUAACCUAGGUUCGAGGGCUUUCGCUGACCCCAUAGCACCUGCACGCCCGAAUGACCCCACACAAAUCUAUCUCACCCCUAUAUACACCACCGCGUGGGUCCCCCUCUGGCUUUUUCGGAAGGGGGAUUACGCUUUCACACACUUUUUGUAUGCUGUUAAGACUGUAUUUAUUGUUUUUGUGAUCUCUCAAUCCAUACAACUUUCAACCACGGAUCUCUUGCCUCCCGCAGCGAUCAAGACCC